rnacentral:rRNA from 1 species
AGUGGCAAACGGCUGAGUAACACGUAGGAACCUCCCCCAAAGCCCGACAUAGCUCACCGAAAGGUGGGGUAAUUUCGGAUAGUCUCUUCGGAGUAAAGAUUCGUCACUUUGGGAUGGGCCUGCGUCCUAUCAGGUAGUUGGUGAGGUAAAUGCUCACCAAGCCUAUGACGGGUAGCUGAUCUGAGAGGAUGGUCAGCCAGACUGGGACUGAGAUACGGCCCAGACUCCUACGGGAGGCAGCAACUAGGAAUUAUGUGCAAUGGGCGAAAGCCUGACACUGCGACAUCGCGUGGAGGAUGAAGGUCUUAGGAUCGUAAACUCCUUUUAUUGGGGAACAAGUUCUGAGUGUACCCAAUGAAUAAGUGCCUGCCAACCACGUGCCAGAAGCAUCGGUAAUACGUGGGACACAAGCGUUAUCCGGAUUUACUGGGCGUAAAGAGAUGCGUAGGUGACUUAAUAAGUUCUGUGUUAAAGCCUAAUGCUCACCAUUAGAAGCGCGCAGAACACUGUUUUGAUUGAGUUAAGUAGGGAGAAGGGGAAUUCCUGGUGGAGCGGUUAAAUGCGUUGAUAUCAGGAGGAACACCAAUAGCGAAGGCACCUUCUUGGACUUAUACUGACACUAAGGCUCGAAAGCGUGGGGAGCAAAACGGAUUAGAUACCCGUGUAGUCCACGCUGU